rnacentral:rRNA from 1 species
UCGAGCGAACAGAUAAGGAGCUUGCUCCUUUGACGUUAGCGGCGGACGGGUGAGUAACACGUGGGUAACCUACCUAUAAGACUGGGAUAACUUCGGGAAACCGGAGCUAAUACCGGAUAACAUUUGGAACCGCAUGGUUCUAAAGUGAAAGAUGGUUUUGCUAUCACUUAUAGAUGGACCCGCGCCGUAUUAGCUAGUUGGUAAGGUAACGGCUUACCAAGGCGACGAUACGUAGCCGACCUGAGAGGGUGAUCGGCCACACUGGAACUGAGACACGGUCCAGACUCCUACGGGAGGCAGCAGUAGGGAAUCUUCCGCAAUGGGCGAAAGCCUGACGGAGCAACGCCGCGUGAGUGAUGAAGGGUUUCGGCUCGUAAAACUCUGUUAUUAGGGAAGAACAAACGUGUAAGUAACUGUGCACGUCUUGACGGUACCUAAUCAGAAAGCCACGGCUAACUACGUGCCAGCAGCCGCGGUAAUACGUAGGUGGCAAGCGUUAUCCGGAAUUAUUGGGCGUAAAGCGCGCGUAGGCGGUUUCUUAAGUCUGAUGUGAAAGCCCACGGCUCAACCGUGGAGGGUCAUUGGAAACUGGGAAACUUGAGUGCAGAAGAGGAAAGUGGAAUUCCAUGUGUAGCGGGUGAAAUGCGCAGAGAUAUGGAGGAACACCAGUGGCGAAGGCGACUUUCUGGUCUGUAACUGACGCUGAUGUGC